UUUCUUGGAUUUACUGCAACUGUUUCUACUGAAUUUAUUGGGAACAUUUUUGACAUACUAAAUUUUUUUCUCCAAAAGAACAUAGUGUGGAGGAAUUAUAUUUUGUUUAACUAUUUCCUCAUGUUAGAACAUUUAAGUUAUGUGUAUCUUAAAUUAUUUCCAUGAGAUACUGCUUAGAGUUAAAAUUGCUGGGCCAGUGGAAAGUUUUUUUUAAUCUGUAUUGUGAUCUGUAUAGUAAUCUGUAUGGUAUCUGAAAGAUACUAUAGCAGUGGUCUGUGAAUUUGAGUUUUUAUUUAUGUAUGUGACAUGUUGACGGAAAAGUAGUUGGAGAAAACUACAUGAAUUGUUUCAUAUAAAGCAACUUAACUUUUUACAUUUUGUAGAUGUUUUUAAAAAUGGCUUUUUUUACUUUUCAGAAAACCAGACAAACAAAACAAUAGAUGCUUCUGUCAGUAAGAAAGCAGCUGAUAGCACAUCACAGUGUGGAAAAGCCACUGGCAGUGAUUCAAGUGGUGUCAUUGAUCUCACAAUGGAUGAUGAAGAGAGUGGAGCUUCACAAGGUACUUCAAUAGUAAUUGUACUAAGCAACGUUUUGAUACCAUUUUUUUUGUCUUAAUACGGUACAGUAUUCUACAAAGACAGAUGUUUAUGGCAUUAUGCUUGGUUUAUUUGUGUUCUUUUUGGAAUGGAAGUUUUUUAGAUUAGAAUUUUAAAAUUUGGCCAGGUGCAGUGUCUCACACCUGUAA
rnacentral:lncRNA from 1 species